UUCUAAUGCCCGUUUUCACCAACAACCUCUUACCGUUUCCCUAUCUAAAUGCUACUUUUAGUAAGGAUCCCUCCCAAUUUGACACCUACCUAAAUUCAUUUUCACCACACUUGUACAUGGAUCCCUUAAGUAAGUGACAGAUUACUAGUUCUACAAACGAUAAUGCAAAGUCGAUAUUUUAUCGAUAAAAUGUUUUUUCUGUACUUCUUAAGAAAUAAACGUCUAUCGAGUAUAUAUUACUAAAGCCUAUAAGUUUAUUUUGGCAGAGAAGAGAAAACGAGGAUAAACCUUUCUUGCAGAAGAAAAAGACAAGCUAGUGAAAUUGCUGACGUCUCAUAGAGACACAAUAUUAAACAAAAAACGGAUGGGACCACGAACGAAGCCAAAAACAAAGCUUGGAUCCAGUCACAAAUAGUUUUAAUGCGACAGGAACCCUUUACAGUUUCAGGUGGUGCGAGAAAUUGGAAAGACGUGUAAAAACAUGCUGCGCCCAGCCCACCUCAAAUUGAAUUGGUGCAGGAGGAUGAUGAUAAUGUUUGGUACAUCAUAUGAGGACUAAUAUUAAAAUAUUUAUUUAC
rnacentral:lncRNA from 1 species